rnacentral:rRNA from 1 species
GGCGAUCAGAUACCGCCCUAGUUCUAACCGUAAACGAUGCCAACUAGCGAUCCGUCGGUGUUAAAAUUUGACUCGACGGGCAGCUUCCGGGAAACCAAAGUUUUCUGGUUCCGGGGGAAGUAUGGUUGCAAAGCUUAAACUUAAAGGAAUUGACGGAAGGGCACCACCAGGAGUGGAGCCUGCGGCUUAAUUUGACUCAACACGGGGAAACUCACCCGGCCAGGACACAAUAAGGAUUGACAGAUUGAUAGCUCUUUCUUGAUUUUGUGGGUGGUGGUGCAUGGCCGUUCUUAGUUGGUGGAGCGAUUUGUCAGGUUAAUUCCGAUAACGAACGAGACUCUAGCCUAUUAAAUAGACAAUAUAUUAUUAGUAUAUCGAGCUUCUUAGAGGGACAGGCAGCGUCUAGCUGCACGAGAUUGAGCAAUAACAGGUCUGUGAUGCCCUUAGAUGUCCGGGGCUGCACGCGCGCUACAAUGAUAAUAGCAACGUGCAUUAAAACCUUUUCUGGUAAGAAUUGGUAAACACGAAAUAUUGUCGUGCUUGGGAUAGGGGAUUGAAAUUAUUGCCCUUAAACGAGGAAUUCCCAGUAAGUGCGAGUCAUCAGCUCGCGUUGAUUACGUCCCUGCCCUUUGUA